CCUCUGAUCGUCUAAUUGGUAGGACACGACACUUUGAUUAUCGAAAUAUAGGUUCGAAGCCUACUCAGAGAUCCA
rnacentral:tRNA from 1 species